GUCCGGGUGGCUCAAUGGUCAGAGCACCUGCCUCGUAAGCAGGAGAUCCGGGCUCGAAUCCCGGUCUGGCGCACU